rnacentral:rRNA from 1 species
UACGUAGGGUCCGAGCGUUGUCCGGAAUUAUUGGGCGUAAAGAGCUCGUAGGCGGUUUGUCGCGUCUGCUGUGAAAUCCCGAGGCUCAACCUCGGGCCUGCAGUGGGUACGGGCAGACUUGAGUGGUGUAGGGGAGACUGGAAUUCCUGGUGUAGCGGUGGAAUGCGCAGAUAUCAGGAGGAACACCGAUGGCGAAGGCAGAUCUCUGGGCCGUAACUGACGCUGAGGAGCGAAAGCAUGGGGAGCGAACAGG